GAAUGGCUUUGGUGGGCACCAGGCAUCCAGACUGGGUCAGCCCUCUGCAGCGCAUUACAGAAAUAGAGAUCUUGGCUUUGGAGCAGUGCAAAAACAGGCAUGUCACGAGCUUUUCGUCAUCAUUUCUGAAUUAUCCAGCGAUCAGCAUUAGUUCCAAGCAACCUCACAUGGUCCCCAGUACUUUUCUGUACAGGCUGGAUUUCUGCUUCAUGUCACUAACUGUCUUUAUUGAUUGAGGAAGACAGACACGGCACCAGCGCUUGCCCUCUCUGCUCAGAAUCACCAAUGAAGCCCCAUGAAGACCCUCUGUAACUGGCAGACAUGAAAGCAUUUGUCCCCAUCUCAUGACAGGUACACCUCUGAGAAAAGGUGAUGCUGCAUAUUUAUUUGCCAGAGGUCAGCAUGGAAGAUAUAAAGAGAAUGUAUUUAUAUGCAUAAUGCCUCAGCUUUCUAAAGCAUUAUUUAAUCUAUUUCCUUCAUGAGUAUGUGCUGUGUUGAAUAUGCAUGGGUCUGUAUAAAGCAUUUCUGGAGUUUUCUCCUCUAAGAGGUCAGGGUAGUAAACCUGCAUAUACAUAAAACAGUAAUAACAACCACCACAUUUUAUUAUUGCACUUUCUAGCUUAAAAAGAGAUGAAAGAAAAUGCCAGGCUACUGUGAAGGUGAUGGGAG
rnacentral:lncRNA from 12 species